CGCCCCAAAGGAUCCGCCCCCUUUCUUCCGAGGUCAGGCGAAGUGGAAGCUCCGCCCCGCUGAGGGAGGGGAAGCUGCUGAGAACUAGAGGGGCGGUUCCACCUGGCCCCGCCCCCUGUAUCUCUGGGCACCGGCCUCUGCCACGCCCCACCUCUGUUUUGCCUUUGUGAGUUCUCAAACGACUGGUGUCCCGGUUUUUUUUCCAUCUAAACAAGAGAAACCCCCAAAGUAGAAGGAAUCCAAGCUUCUUUCCACCUGUGGAUUGACCUGCUACAUUCAAAAGGGUGUUUCGCAGGUGAUCCGAGGUAAUGUCAAGUUUACAAGAUGACUAAGCAUCGCAGUGGCAGGCUAGCUGCAAUGCAAGGUCCGACUUCACAGGCACCCAUUCUCUCUUCGAUCUGCACAGUGAGCUAGCCAGCCGUAGGAAUGGUUCCCCUGGUAAAACUACUUGUCACUCAAGCCUGACAGUAGAAGUAGAAGGCUAACUCCAAAAAUUAUCCUCUGAUUUCCAUACUUGUAUUAUGGCACUUAGAUAUCUAAAUCCAUGCAACUCGUACAGACAUAAAUCUUUUAAAUUUCUUUUAAGAAAAAAAAAUUCAUCUGUGUGUUAAAGAUUCACCUCUUUCAUCCUGGACCUUCGGAAACAGAGACAAACAGAGCUCUUAAGUUUGGGGCCAGCCUGGUCUACAUAUAGAGUUCCAGACUAGCCAGAACUCCACAGUGAGACUCUAUUUCCACACAAGUUUGUUUGUUUUUUUGGUUUUUUGUUCUGGAUUUGUUGUUUCACAUCAUGGACCCCAGUCUCACUCAUCUCCCAGUCCCCUCAAAUCCACCCUCCAGCCUUGAAACUUCCAGCCAAAAGAGAAAAUACACAAACAAAAUAAAUAAGACAAAACACAGAAAACAUCUCGUGGUGGAAACUGUCCUAUGUCAGUGUGUCCCACAGUAUACCCCUCUUGUCCACACAUCUUCACUUGCAAAUGUUCACUGCAGUGAGUCAUUGGUCUGGUUGGAAGUCUCUGGCUUCUGUGACACCGUCACAUUCUGGCCAGAAUGUUGUUGUCCUAUGUCAUGGAGAUCUUGCAGUUUUAGAUCCAAAAGACUGAACCUUUCAUGUGCCCCAACAGAUCACAGAUGAGGAGACGUUCUCCCGGCCAAGGUUAAUGACUCCGUGAUAAUAGCAGCACAAGUCCAAAAGGUCUGUUCCUGACAGGACCCCCACUCCACUUCAAAGAUGAUGAGCAUCAAUCACCUCCACAUGGAGUGGCUUCCACUGUGGCAAGCCAGACACUGGGCAAGGAAAAUGCCCACACUGCAACUACGGGCAAGUUUCUACAGAAAAGACAAGCAGGAAAGUCAACUGCCACGCUCUGCCAACGCACGCUAAGCAAGCCCUUCAUAAUUCCUGCUCCACAAAGUCUGUCAGACAUGCUGAGCAGAAGGCUGAGGAUAAAUGCCCCAACAUCGUAGAGACAAUUCUGGGUAGCUGUCUAGCCCGCCAACCGUCUGUCAGUUCUUAGUCUUGGAAGCUUCUGCCUGCACUUCCUGCAAAUUCAGGUCAUAUUGAUCCCUUCUCCGGUCUCUGACGGAGGUGAAGACUGGAUAGUUAAGAGUCUUUACUAUAAGCUUAAGUUGUUUAGAAUUUAAGAAGAUCUAGAUCUAUGAAGAUGUCUUUUAGCAUGGUCAUACAAGUUAGGAUAGAAAAUGAUUUAGAUACAGAACUGUGAACUCACCAAGAUAGGCUAGACAAUACUUUGUCUAAGUUGCCAAAUUUAAAUGGACCAGACAUUAUAAAUGUAUAUCACACCUUAUAGUUUUCAUAAUCAUUUUAAUUGUACUCAAUUUGUAUUCAAAUUGAAAGAAAAAGAGCCUUUUAUUGGGAUAAAAAGGGGAACUAUAGAGAGUAUAUCUUUUUUUUAAAGAUAUAUUUCGUGUAUGAGGGUACACUGUCGCUGUCCUCAGACACACCAGAAGAGGGCAUCAGAUCCCAUUACAGAUGGUUAUGAGCCACCUUGUGGUUGCUGAGUAUUGAACUCAGGACCUCUGGAAGAGCAGUCAGUGCUCUUAACCACUAAGCCAUUUCUUCAGCCCAAGAGUAUAUCUUGUAUAUUGUAUGGAUGCAUUGCCUGUCAAUUAAAAAGUCUAUGGCCUAUGACUUAGGCAAGGAAUAAGAGGUGGACCAGUAGGCAAAAAGAAUUCUGGGAUAGAGCCAGGCACACAAAGCCCCACUUAGGAAGAUUUAAGGAGGUGGACACAUGGUACUUGAGCACAGGUAACCAGCCACAUGACAGAAUGUAGGUUAAAAUAAAUGGGUUAUUUUAGUUACCAGCUAGUCAAAGAAGAGCCUAGCUAUGUGGUGGUUUGAAUACACUUGGCUCAGGGAGUGUAACACCUAAUAAGGAGGCAGGGCCUUGUUGGAGGAAGUGUGUCACUAUGGAGGUGGGCAAUGAGACCUUCCUCCUAGCCACAUGGGAGUCAGAUAAAGAUGUAGAACUCUCAGCUCCGGCACCAUGCCUGCCUGGACACUGCCAUGCUCCACCUUGAUGAAAAUGGACUGAACUCCUGAACCUGUAAGCCAGCCCCAAUUAAAUGUUGUUCUUUAUAAAUGUUGCCUUGGUCGAGGUCUCUGUUCACUGCAGUAAAACCCUAACUAAGACAGUGUUUGUAAAUAUAUUUUGAGUCUGAAUCUUAUUUCUGGGACCAUAGAGCUGGAGGAAAAACAACAAAGCAAAGCAAACUUCUACAUGAGAGGUCAGCUACCUCUCCAGAGCACUGCAGCCAGUAAGGGGCAGGGCCAGUUUUCACACCCCCUGGGAAUAGUACACCUACAGGGGACAGCUUUUUUUUUUUUUGGAUAUUUUAUGUAUUUACAUUUCAAAUGUUAUCCCCUUUCCUGGUUCCCCUCUCCCCAAACUCCCUCCCCUGCUUCUAUGAGGGUGCUCCCCCUCCCACCCACCCACUCCCAUGUUGCCACCCUGGCAUUCCCCUACACUUGGGAAUUGAUCCUUCACAGGACCAAGGGUUUCUCUUAUUGAUGCCAGACAAUGCCAUCCUCUACUACAUAUGCAGCUGGAGCCAUGGGUCCCUCCCUGUGUACUCUUUGGUUGGUGUUUUAGUCCCUGGAAGCUCUUGGGGGAGGUCUGGUUGGUUGAUAUUGUUGUUCUUCCUAUAGGGUUUCAAACCUCUUCAGCUCCUUCAGUUCCUUCUCUAACUCCUCCAUUGGGGUCCCAGUGCUCAGUCCAGGGGUUAGCUGCAAGCAUCCUCAUCUGUAUCAGUAUGGCCAUCCAUAUCUGGCUCCUGUCAGCAAGCAUUUUUUUGGCAUCAGCAAUAGUGACUGGGUUUGGUGUCUGCAGAUGGGAUGGGUCCCCAGGUGGGGCAUGUAGUCUCUGGAUGGCCUUUUCCUUCAGUCCCUGCUCCACUCUUUAUCCCUGUAUUUCCUCCUGUGAGUAUUUUGUUUCCCCUUCUAAAAAGGACUGAAGCAGAGGGCAGCUCUUAACACCUCAAGCUAAUCACAAUAACCUCCCACAGACAUGCCCAUCUCCCAGGUGAUUCUAGACCUCAAGUUGACAGUUGAAAUUAGCCAUCAUUAGCCAUCAUAACUCAACCUACUGUCAACUUGAUAUUCAAAGGCAUCACACUUUAAAUCACAAUCUUCCGCACUUUGUGGAACCCAGAGUCUCAUGUUAAUUGCAUACUGCAAAAUAUAAUGCAGCUUCAAAAUAAUAGUCUUCAACAAUUUCAACAGUUUAAAGAGUCCAAAGUCCAUAUCUCAUUUGAGACUCAAGGCAAGCUCUUAACUGUGAACUCGUACAUUCAUUCUAGAAUCAAGAUUAGCAUUAUUUUUACCACUUAAGUAUAUACCGAGUGUAGUGGCUAUUCCUGGUUGUCAACUUGACUGUAUCUGGAAUGAACCACAGCUCAGAAUUGGAAGGCUCACCUUUGAUCCUGAUCUUGAGGCUGGGAGGUACAAGUUUCUGACCUGGAUCUUGGUCUGGAGAUCUUGAGACAAAGUGGCUAUGAAUCCCAGGAGCUUAAGGCAAGGAGAUCUCUGAGUUCAAGAUCACCUGGGACAGAGAAAGCCCCAAACCCAGGCAUAGUUUAAUCUGGGAUACACCUUCUUCUGGAGAUUUACCUAAGGACAUUGGAAGAAGGAAGAGUCUCUUUUUUGCCUGCCUGCCCACCUCGUGGGACUGAGCCACCACUAGAUCCUUGGACUUCCAUUCACAGCUGCUGCUGACCAUUGUUGGAGAGUUGGACUACAGACUGUAAGUCAUCAACCAAUUCUCUUACUAUAUAGGGACUACCCAUAAGUUCUGUGACUCUAGAGAGCCCUGACUAAUACUGAAUAGAUUGGACGAAUUUUCCUAUCUAGAGGUAUUUAUAAAUAUUGAAUUACUCGGCACACUCUUUUGUUGAUAUUGUUGAAGAUGAAUACCAUGCCGCAAUUCUGAGGUCUAUGUGGUCACGUUCACAGAAGAGACCGAAACAUAUUUAAGGUUAGAAGUAAAACCUAAGAGUUUAUAUCCUGUAUUUUGGCUUCUCUGGCACUAGCUAGUUAGUUGAUAGUUGGUAGCUGAAUAAAAAAAUCCUUGCUCUGCAGGCAAAGGGAAUCUUUGAAGCAAAGUCUUUUUUUGUUUCAUUUGAUGCAGUCAUCUGUUUGAUUGGCGGAAAUACCUUUUCAUCUCCUGGGAGCUCACUGUGCAAAGCUGUGACCAGUACUGCUAUUUUACUCCUGUUUAAAAGGCCCCUCCCUAUAAUAAUACAGGAUUCCCUUUGAUACAGCUCAUAUAAUUUUAGAUUAACUUUUAUAAGACACCGAGUGCUUAUUUUAUAAGGCAAUAAUGGAUAGUUUCUAAAAGGGAUAGAGAUUUAGAAGAACUAAUGCAAGUGUCUUAGACUUUGAAAACCAAACACCUUAAUUAACUUCACUAGUUGAUGUCAGGUCUACAAGCGCAAACAGAGCAGAGAUGGUGACAGACGGUCAGGUUCGAAGCCCGGUGAAUAUGCACAGUGAGGACAACACAUGGGGAGCAGCUGUGGGGAGACAGAUCAACUUAAAGUGGGGUGAUUCAAGGGUUAUAUAGUUUGGGGGAGAGCAGGGGACAGUGUGGUGCAUGUGUGCCUGCCAGCCAGCCGGCCAACCGGCGUGCGUGCGUGCGUGCGUGCUUACGUGCGUGCGUGCGUGUGUGUGUGCGAGUGUGUGUGUGCAUGUAUAAGAGUAUCCUGGAUGGUCAAAGGUCAUUGACUGAAGGUUUAAGGUACCAAGAUGCUUCAUUAGCAUGGGGAGGCAUUUCAGGUCCUAGCUGAAUGGGUUCUUAUCAGGAGAAAGGAAGUUGAACCUGUAACCUUAACCAAGGCUACGUGACAUUCCACAGGUAUAGGGUGUGGGGUCUGGGAUCCCCCAGGUUGAGAAGAGGAAACCUCACUGACAAAAGGAGUCCGCAAUUUUGCAUCAAGCUCAGAAAGCUAUCCGGAUAAUAGUGGGCUUCAACCUUAAUUAGCAGGGCGACAGACCCUGAGUCCUCACCAAGAGAUGGUGCACAGGGAGGAGGGGCUCCCUAGGGAUGGCUGCAGCUGCAGCGGGGUUAAUAGUAAGUCGAGAGACACCAGAGGGAAGGGCAGGAAGGAUAAUGUCUGUGAUGUUUUGAAAGAAAAUGGCCCAAAGGCGUUCUUAUUAAGGGGUGUGGCCUUGUUGGGGUAGGUGUGGCCUCAUUGGGUAGGUGUGGCCUGUUGGAGUGAGGAAGUGUGUCACUGUGGGAAAACUUUGAAGUCUCAAAAGCUCAAACCAGGCCUAGUGCAUCAUUUUCUUUUUGCUGCCUCUGGGUCUGGAUGUGAAACUCUCAUCUCUUUCUCCAGCACUGUCUGCCUGCAUGCCAUCAUGCUUCCCGUCAUGCUUCCCGCCAUGAUAACAAUAGGCUAAAGCUCAAAAAACGGAGCCAGCCCCAAUUAGAUGUUUUCCUUUAUAAGACUUUCCAUUAACCAGGCGGCACACCUUCAAUCCCGAGGCAGAAGCAGGCAGAUCUCUGAGUUCAAGGCCAGUCUGGUCUACAGAGCCAGUUCCAGGACAGCCAGAGCUACACAAAAAAUGCUAUCGCAAAAAACAACCCACCAACCAACAAACAAAUAAGAGUUGCCAUAAUCAUGGUGUAUUGUGAUCACAAUGAAACCCUAACUGAGGCAAUGUCCAUGUAUAUAUAUAUAUAUAUAUAUUAAUUAGAGUCUGACUGGCCUAGAAUUCAAUAUCUAGACCAGGGUAUCCUCUAACUCACAGAGAUCUACCUGCCUCAGCCUCCCAAAUUCUAGGGUUAAAGAAUUCUAGGGUAAAAACCAUUGCCUGGUUUAUUACAAUUAAACACACACACACACACACACACACACACACACACACACACACACAC